rnacentral:rRNA from 1 species
GUCGGUGUUUAUUACGAAGAGGGUCCACCCGUUCCCAUUCCGAACACGGUAGUUAAGCUCUUCAGUGCCGAAAAUACUUGGCGGGCAGCC